rnacentral:rRNA from 1 species
UGGGGAAUAUUGGGCAAUGGGGGAAACCCUGACCCAGCAACGCCGCGUGAAGGAAGAAGGCUUUCGGGUUGUAAACUUCUUUUAGCAGGGACGAAGGACGUGACGGUACCUGCAGAAAAAGCAACGGCUAACUACGUGCCAGCAGCCGCGGUAAUACGUAGGUUGCAAGCGUUGUCCGGAUUUACUGGGUGUAAAGGGCGUGUAGGCGGAGAAGCAAGUUGGGAGUGAAAUCCAUGGGCUCAACCCAUGAACUGCUCUCAAAACUGUUUCCCUUGAGUAUCGGAGAGGCAAGCGGAAUUCCUAGUGUAGCGGUGAAAUGCGUAGAUAUUAGGAGGAACACCAGUGGCGAAGGCGACUUACUGGACGGUAACUGACACUGAGGCACGAAAGCGUGGGGAGCAAACAGGAUUAGAUAACC